AUAUCCCGGAAAGCCUCUAAAGAGGCACCGAAGGAGCAAUUCUUCUAUAAAGAAGAAUCUCUCAGGUAAACAGACGGGGGAAUAAAA
rnacentral:ncRNA from 2 species